UACGGGGGGGGCAAGCGUUGUUCGGAAUUACUGGGCGUAAAGGGCUCGUAGGCGGCCAACUAAGUCAGACGUGAAAUCCCUCGGCUUAACCGGGGAACUGCGUCUGAUACUGGAUGGCUUGAGUUUGGGAGAGGGAUGCGGAAUUCCAGGUGUAGCGGUGAAAUGCGUAGAGAUCGGGAGGAACACCAGUGACGAAGGCGGCUUGCUGGGCCGGACCUGACGCUGAGACGCGAAAGCCAGGGGAGCGAACAGG
rnacentral:rRNA from 1 species